rnacentral:lncRNA from 1 species
UAACUUUACAGAAGAAGUGAUGGAAUUUACAACUAAAAAUAUGCAUUAUGGUUACAAGGGGAAAAUUCUCAGCUACAUGUCUGGUAUUGAUCUCUCCAAUAACAACUUCGGAGGAGCAAUCCCACUAGAAUUUGGAAACUUAAGUGAGAUACGGUCAUUAAACUUAUCACACAACAAUCUCACUGGAUCUAUCCCUGCAACAUUCUCAAAUCUAAAGCAGAUUGAGAGUUUGGAUGUUUCUUACAACAACUUGAAUGGUGCCAUCCCUCCACAACUUACUGGAAUUACCUCACUGGAAGUUUUUAGUGUGGCGCACAAUAACUUGUCAGGUAGGACACCCGAGAGAAAAUAUCAGUUUGGGACCUUCGAUGAAAGCUCUUACGAAGGAAAUCAUUUCUUGUGUGGACCUCCAUUGCGAAACAAUUGUAGCAAGGAAGCAGUGUCGUCGCAGCCAGUGCCCGAUGAUGAACAAGGAGAUGAUGGUUUCAUUGACAUGGAGUUCUUCUACAUCAGUUUCGGUGUAUGUUACACAGUUGUGGUGAUGACGAUUGCAGCUGUUCUCUACAUCAAUCCAUAUUGGCGAUGCAGGUGGUUGUACUUCAUUGAAGACUACAUAGAUACUUGCUACUAUUUUGUGGUGGCUAGUUUUCGCAAGUUCUCCAACUUCAGAGGAUGAAUUUGUUAUGAUUGUAUGUCUAGCUAUUGGGUGCUUCAUUUGUAGUGUACUGUCUCUAAGCUCAGCCUUUCUAUUUGAUUAGUUAUGUGGGCUAAAUAUAUAAGCUGGACUUGUCAUUCCUGAACCAUUAGGAAGGGAACUGAUUUGGAUUGGUCAUUGCCUCGGAUGUGAUGACUCUUUUAACUCUCAAGACUUGUCCGAAAAUAAAUUGCCAAAACCACUACUAAGUAGAAACAAAAUAUUCCAUGCCUGUGUGACAACACUUACAUUUGCCUUUGUUUCAAGGGCGACCUUCUUCAACAGCCUUCCUGGCCGUUUCUAGUAGCUUCUUUGCUCUGAUCCUCAUUUCCUCUGAUUCUUCACCCAUCAUAAUUUGACUCAUCUACAGCUUCACUUUUAACAUGAUCUCCAUGCAUUCUAGGCCAUUCCUUAACUCCAGUCACCAACUUUUCAUUAUAAAAUUGCUCAGCAAUUAUUGCCCUUAUGCCUUCAAGAGUUGAGUUCCAUCCUCAAUGAGUCACAAAUGCCCCUAUUGCUACAUGAUCAAGAAUCAAACCAAAGCCAGUUGUCUUGGAAACUUUAAUCUCUGUUUAUCAAGCCUGUCUUUUUAACAAGAUUGUCUUUCUUUGGCUCAUGAGGCUGCCUGUCGCGCCGAAGAUUUGCCCGCAGCUUGUAGGAAUCAAACCAAAGCCCCUUUUAAGAAAAUUUAAUGACCAAAAGGAAGAAAAUCAUAAAAAAAUCUAGUUAGAUCAAAGGAGAAGAUAUAUUAUAUAUUCAUAAAAAGCUUAAAGUAGACAAACAUCAAACAUUGAUUCAACAUGUAACAAUGCAAGUAGCAAGGUAAAAGUGCUACUCAUAUCAACCAGGACUUGUUAUGAAGGAAUAAAUAUUUUGGAGCUUCAAGGGUGGUUUUUCUUUAAUUUAUGUGGAACCCAUUAGUAGAAAAGCAAGCUAUGAAGGCUAGGCUAAGAGAAAAUUGUCUACAUUUACCAUCUCAUUAUAUCAGGGACAAUGAAAGAGGAAAAACAUUUUCGCCAAGUCGAGAAAGAGCGAAUGUAAAAGCUGAUGUUGGAUUGCGCAAGCAUAAAUGGAUUCAAUUGAUUUUCAUGGGACUGCAAUUGAGGAACUGGAGGCUGUCCUAGCUGUAGAUUAGGAAUAGUCCUCCUGAAUCUGCUUGGGUUUAGAAAACUUACAAUCUGCUUCUCAUAGGAACCCAAUUUCUCCUUGAAACUGGGUGUUGUGAUGUUUUUAGAGACCUGUAAGAAUGUUAUCAAGCUCUCCAACAUGGCCUUGAAUACCUCCAGCUUUCCAAGCUGUUCUGACUUCGGUUGUUGCGGAUGAGAGUCAAGCUGGAAAGCAAAGUUAACAUACACGAGAAUUAAAAAUUGCAUUGAUCCUUUGUAGCAAAACAUUAGUGAAAAAAAAUGUUUCUAUUCAAAUUCUUCUGUUGUGGGGCGGUUGGGGGGAGGGGUAGGUGAUUAGUGCAGAUGAUACAGUGACAGGCAAUGCUGACGAGGAAAACAAAUUAAUACAAAAGCUCGACGUGGGGAAAUUGCAGAUAAUCAUGCAUGGGCAGAUAAUCUGCAAGAAAUUGCAGAGACAAUUUACCUGCUGUAACUUGGCAGCAAUUGUCUGGUACAUUUCAUUUAUUUCAUGGAAGUACAAAUAACCAGCAAAACACUAUCAGUCAUAUGCUUGAUUUCUUCAGGUGCCAGUCAGAAAGAAAGUAACACAAACAAACUUAAGGGAAUUGAUAAAAAUAAAAUAACAAAAAAAGGGCAGAGGACAACAUAUAUUAGUUGAGAUAAAAAUAGCAGAGUGGAAUUAAUGCUGGAAACUCAAGAGGAUGUCGAUAUUGAUGGAAUGGAAAGAUGCAAAGGGCUGUUUAAGUACACCUUUAGACAAGAUUCAGGGGUUGGUUAAGUUCAGUUACUUUGUCUCCCUGCAAACUACUCAUCAUUGUUUUCUGCUGUCAUAGCUCAAGUAAAUGGAUGUCACAACUUUAGCAACGCUUCUUAUCAAAUAUGCAGUUAUGACAUGAGACAUUCAGAAUUUCAACCUCAUUUUCUAUAAAAUUCAAAUAUGGUAAUGAUUCAAUGGAAUAAGUCCCACUUAUUUUCUUUUCCUUCCAUUGUCACAUGUUUCAGAACAAGUUGAUUGCAAUCGUGCAAAUAACUCUUCACUUAACCAAAAUAAACUUUAAGUCAUUCAGAUAUAGUGCACUCUUAUUUCUAAUUCUGUCUAAUGCAGUAAGAAGUACGGACAAUAGGACUCGUUGGAAAUAAAUAAAUAAUUCACCACACAACAAAUAUAGGGGGAAAAUCGAAAGGGAGAGGUUUGCAAUAAAAAACUGCCGUGCCAGAACCAAGAAAGCAAUCCUCUUGACCUACAAAUCUGAAUAUUUUUACCUUCAUUCAUCUUAUCAAUGAUUAAUCAUUUCUUAGUUGCUGCAAUCAUGGAACUUACAAUGCUUCCUAACUAAUCCCAACCAUAGCUGAAUAAAAUUCCUUGGACCAAUCCCAGGAGACCUUUCUCCAUUGAAAUCUUGCAAGACUAUGGCAUACAUAAACUCCAUCUAAUGAACAGUAAAUCACAGAAAUUACCUUCUGAUAGAUCUCCUCUUGCUAAUAAGCGCCUUUUGCAUGUCCAGUCUGUGCUGUAGAAUCUAGGGAUGCCGCAAAAAUUUCAAUGCGGGCAACAAAAGAUUAGAAUUCAUGUAUUUCUGUGUGUUUUCCAUAUACAAGGGUAUUUCUGUAAUUUUCACACUUUCUGAAAAUUAUGGAAUAUUGCAAGUCUCAGUUUUAUUUUCCAUUUAGUAUUUUAUUAUCCCAAAGUAUAGCGAGCUUCAUUAGAUUUUUCCUAUUCUAGAUAGGACUAUUAGUAUUUUCCUACAGAGGAAUACAAGUCCUUUUCGGACUAGGAGUACUAGGAAUUCCAUCUAAACGUUAUGUAAUCAUUCAAACUGACGGACAGACCCUAUAAAUCCAGAAUGAGAGGUGAACAGCUGGUGCAAUGCACUGGAGGGUAUGAUGUGGUAACAAAUGCGUGUGUGAUUGCAAUGGUUUCAAUAGCAGUGGCAUUACUAAUGCCAAAAGUUGCAGCAGUAGCACAUAAAGCUACCUAAAAGAGCAUUGCUGACUAGAACCAUUAUGAGAGGUGAAAGGUUGGUGCAGCGCACUGGAGGGCAUCGUGUGGUGAUAAAUGCAUGUGUGAUUCCCAUAGCAGUGGCAUUUCUAAUGCCAUAAGUGGCAGCAGUGGCACAUAAAGCUACCAAAAAAAGCAUUACCUGGCAUUUGUCUCUGAGAAUUGGCAAACAUAGUGGAGGGAUUCCCUUGUCUCAUUGAAUUCCCCACUGAGUUCUGUGAAAAACCGGGGAUACUCUGCAUGUUAGGAUCCUGGACAACAGUGUUGGGGAUAGUCUGGGUUGCACCGCCGACAGGAGGCAGUGCCGCUUGUAAACCAGCAGAACUUUAAACUCCAUUAGAUGCCAUGCAAUUCUGCAUGUUCUGUUAUAACAACUGCUGGCGUCCUUGAGACUGAUCAGUGGACAAUAGGAUAGGGAGAAACAGCCCGUGAUUCUGAACUUGAGGGGGCAUACUAUGGGAUGCUGUUCAAGAUAAAAGGCAAAAAAGAAAACCUGUCAAAGAAAAAAAGAAGGCACUGAACAAGGAAGACAAAUGAAACAUCGGGCAGUUCACACAUUUACUAUUUAAUUAUUCCCAAAGUAUAGCGAGCUUCAUUAGGUUUUUCCUAUUCUAGAUAGGACUAUUAGUAUUUUCCUAUAUAGGAAUACAAGUCCUUUUUGUAUUAGGAACUUCAUCUAAAUGUUAUGUGAUCAUAUAAAUGCAGAAUGAGAGGGUGAACAAAUGCGCUGGAGGGUAUGAUGCGGUAAGAAAUGCGUGUGUAAUUACUAAUGCCACAAGUGGCAGCAUUGGCACAUAAAGCUACCUAAAAGAGCAUUGCUGACUUGAACCAUUAUGAGAGGUGAACAGUUGGUGCACCGCAGUGUAGGGCAUCGUGUGGUUACAAAUGCAUGUCUGAUUACUGUUGUUACCUAUUUUUUAUUCCCUGUAAAAAAAAAUUAUAUAUCAAAAAAUUAUAUUUGAAAGGAAUAAAAAAAAAAUAGGAGGGAGAAAAAAAUGCUAAAACGCUGAAAAAUAGUCAAAAUUGGUUGAGAAGGUUCAAAAAUACAAGAGGUUGAAUUUGACAGUUUAUCGUUAACUUAUGAGAGUCUUGUUAAUAAAAAAAAUUCAAUUUUUUUUUUAAAAAUAAAUAUAUUCAAACUCAGAUGUUUAUGAACUCAAUUAAAUUUUAUACAAGAUUUAAUUGAAUUUAUAGAAGAUUUGAUCGCAAGAAAAUUGAUUUUUUAAGUAAAUUUAGGCUUUUAUCGGUAGGAAUUAAAGUUCGGGGGUCCAAUUAUAAUUUUAAAGAGUUGAUUUGGUCAAAUCAGGGGCUUAAUUGCAUAAUUAUUAAAGUUUAAUGGCCAAUUAUGGACUUAAUUGAAACAAUUCGAAACGAAGGAUCAAACCAGAAAAGGCACUAACAUUAAGGGAUCCAAUUACAAUUUUGUCGGAGGGGUUGGAUUAUAGAACAACGAAAACUUCAAGGGCCAAAUUCAAAGAAACCAAGCGGCGUCGUUUCCACCAUUAAUGGUCUUCAAACAGCUGCACAUCUGUGACAAUAAUGGAAGGAAACGUUAGCAGCGAUUAUGGAAUUAUUCUUCAAUCAAUGGGGCGGGUAUCGCGGCUGACAUCCCUCGUCACCGUGAUGGAUGCCGGCUUACCAAAAUGGCUGGCGUCCUCUGGCUAUAAAAGCCAGAGGAAGAGCUGCACCAGUGGAGGGAGAAAGGGGAGCAGAGAACAGAGGUGACAGUGAGAAAAAAAAAAGAGUAGAACAGAGAAGGAACAGCAACGAGAAAAAAAAAACGGCAGAGGGAGAGGGGAACAUAAGGAAGAGAAAACAGAGGGAGGAAGAGCAUAAGAAACUAAAAAAACAGGAGCAAAAGGAAGAGAGAAGGAGAGUCUGCACGGCGAAGCAGAGGACACAGCACCAUCGCCGUCUUCACCUCUCCAUAACCAGGUAUGUGCAUUUCCCUUCUCAGUCCCUGCAACAGAAAUGAUGUAUGUUAGUAUGUAAGAAAAACAAAAAGAAAACUUGAGGGAGCCAAUACAUGAAAUUGUCCGCUUCAACACUCUGUUUUGUUUCAUUCUCGCUGCAAUAAGGAUGAUGAACAGUGCGAACGUAAUUACCUUCACCCUGUUCAUGCACGCGUAAAAUAUCACGCGUGCAUGGGCGGCUGGGGCUGGUCACUGGCAUGGGCCAGUGACCAGGCUGGGCUGCCUAGGUCCAGCCCUGCCAGGCAGGUUGGCUGGGCCCAGCCCAGUCAUAUGGGCCGGGUUGAGCCCAGCACAAAAAAAAAAUUUAUUCGUAAAUUAUUUCAAAAGAAUCUGUGAUUUUCCGCAAAUUUUCUACUGCAUGUUGAACAAUAUUGGUUUGUAUUUUUAUACUGUAAAGAUACAAAUCGGUAUUAAAAUACCCGGUUUUCGUAAAGACAUUAAAAAAUAAUUUUUUUUUAUGCAUACGGGCAAGUAUCUCUAAAAAAAUAAUCAUAUUGUAUCUUCAUAACAAUAAAAAAAAAAGGUUUUAGCAUGCAUUUUGGGCUUUAAUAACCAGUUUAUUAAAGUCACAAGAACUAGGUUAAUAUUUCAAAAAAUUCAAAAAAAAAAAUAUUUUCUUUUAAUAUCUAGGGUUAUGAUCUUAUACGUAAGACAUACUUCAGAUAUUAAACUCUUUUGUUGAAGUUAGAACGGUUAAGUUUUUUUUCCGAUAAGAUAAGGAUCUUUUUACCAAGAAGAAAUUUUUCUUAAUUACAGACGGACCAACAACUACAAAGCACGAUAAGACUUUAGAUUUAUCAGACAAUAAAACAAUGCAGCUUACCUUAGGUAGGGUAUAUUUGAGGUGCUAAUACAUUCCAUUUACGCAAUCAGUCCCCGAACCCGAUCUUUGAGACUAGUUAGGGUUCCUAGUGAUCAAAAUACCAGGUGGCGACUCCCAUUCUAUUUUUCCACUAAUAAAAGACAAGAAUUCCUUGUCUUCACACAUUUGCCACAUUAGAUAAGAUUUUGAGGGUGGAUGUUUUCCACGCGAUGCCGCACACGUGCGACAAUUACAAUAGUUCCAAUAGCAGUGGCAUUUCUAAUGCCAUAAGGGGAAGCAGUGGCAAAUAAAGCUACCGAAAAGAGCAUUACCUGGCAUUUGUCUCUGAGAAUUGACAAACAUAGUGGAGGGAAUCCCUUGUCCCUAGGGGUGAGCAAAAAAACCGAGAAACCGAAAAAACCGAAAAAAAAUAACGGAAAAAACCGAACCGAAAAAAAAAACCGAUUAAAGCGAUUAAAAUUUUGAAAAAACCGACCGGUUCGGUUCGGUAUCGGUUUUAGGCUUAUAAAACCGAAAAAACCGAACCGAACCGAACCGAAAAAAUAACCGGAAAAAAACCGAGCCAAACCGGAAAAACCGAGCCAAACCGGAAAAACCGAGCCAAACCGAGCCAAAACCGGAAAAAAUGAGCCAAAACCGGAAAACCGAGCCAAACCGGAAAAAACCGAACCAAACCGGUUUUCCCCCUAAAAAAACCGAACCGAACCGAAACCGGCCGGUUCGAACUGGUUUCGGUUCGGUUUCGGUUUUUUUUUCCAAAAAAAAACAAUUUCGGUUUGGUUACUUUUUUUGAUAAAAACCGAACCGAACCGGUUUUGCUCACCCCUACUUGUCCCAUUGAAUUCCCCACUGAGUUCUGUGAAACACCAGGGAUACUCUGCAUGUUAGGAUUCUGCACAACAGUGUUGGGGAUAGUCUGGGUUACACCAGAGACAGGAGGCAGUGCCGCUUGUAAACCAGCAUAACUUUGAACUCCAUUAGAUGCCAUGCAAUUCUGCAAGUUCUGUGAUACCAACUGCUGACGUGCUUGAGACUGAUCAGUGGACAAUAGGAUAGGGAGAAACAACCUUUGAUUCUGAACUUCAGGGGGCAUACUAUAGGAUAUUGUUCAAGAUAAAAGGCAAAAGGGAAAAAUAAAUAGGUCAUAAUACAAAUCUCAGAGACCUAGGAUCAACAUCAAUUAUUCAUCAACUUUUUUUCUCUUAUUGUCUUUGUAGAGAAAGUGACAUACAACCUUGUUAAUCUCAAAGAUCAAAAUUCUCUUAACAUAGGUCAUAAUACAAAUCCAAAUUUUUCUUUGAUGAAUAACCAUUCUAAUCUUUUUGAAGACACUAGGGGCUUUAUCAUAGACACCAAACAUGUAGCUUGAUUUUUUUAUGGUGCUUGACUUUCGACAUUUGCUAUGUCUUUUCUCAAUUAAAAACCUCUUUUGCCCCUCUUAGAAUUGAUAGGCAUUCUCCUUCUAUUCCACUUUUUUUUUUUUUUUUUUGCUUUUACAUAGCCUUCCUCAAAGUUUUCUUAGAUGACUCUCAAUCUAUGACUUUUCUCCUUCUAGCCCUUUCUCAAUCAUUAGAUUUUUGUUCUAAGCCUUUCUUUUAUCCAUUACUUCUAUCCCUUUCUCAUUUGCUUUCAUUUGCUCAAAAUAUCUCUCAUCAGCUUAAAAGUUUUUGAAAGAGCUUCCUUGCUUGGAAUUUUAGUUUGUAGCAAUGGCCUUCUAUAGUUUGUAAAUAAAAUGACGAAAUUUGAGAGAAUUAAUUUUUCUAGAAAUUUAUAGGAUAUAAUUAAUAACUUGACUUUAAUUUAAAAGGAUUAAUGGACAUCAUAAAAUUUCAACUAAUAUAUAUAUAUAUAGGAACUGCAUGGCCACAAAAAAAAAAAAAAGAGUAAGUAUUUUUAAUAUUUUAGCUAACCAAUGCCGACUUGGAUCAUUGAUGAGUUGUUUAUAUUGGAUGUAAAUAUAUUUCAAACAAUUAUCCACAUCCAAAUUAAGUUAAGGGUAUGUUUAUAAAAAUUAAAUUUUUGACGACCCUCCUUAAUUUUCAAUUGAAAUCUUGAAGGAUGACACAAUAAGUAUGUAUCAUUUUGUGACAAUAUUAGAGCAAGGUAAAACUAUAGAGAAAGUGAAGAAAAUAUUAGAGCAAAAGACAUUUUUCCAACCCACUAAUCAAUUCCUUCAAAGAGGAAGAUUCUCUAUUUCUUGAAAGGCUAAUUUUGCACUAUUUUUUUCUUGCGGAAUGCAUUCACACUACAUUUAAAAUUUAGGAAAACUAAAUCUAUGAUUUUUUUUAAAUUCAUUUUAUUGUUAUUUCUUUAUCGUCCCAUAUAUACCUUAAGUAAACCUUACUUUUAAUUAUUUCGAAUGAAUAAAACAUUUAGUAAAAUCACUUUAAUUAUUCUUUCAAUCUUCCCGUGUGAUUCACUGCUUGGUGAUUCUAAAGUCGCCUAUUUAAACUUUAGCACAUUAUACAACUAAAUUUAUUCUUUCACUCGGUAUUUAUUAUAUAUUCAAUUCGUUAAUCGUUAGAAAUACAAAAGAGAAAAAGACAACUAUAAAUAUAUUUAUAACCAGAAAAGUUAUGAUUAAUAAAUUAUCUUUUCUAGUUUUGUUAUAAAGUUAGUGAUUAAUUCUGUUUUAUUUUUAAUUUUUGAACUAUAAAAAUAUAGAUAAAUUUAAAAUAAAUAUCUUUUUACAAUAGUUUUUAAGUAAAUUUUGUACUUUUAAAAUAAAAAAUAUAUAUAUAAACAUGUUUUUUAUGUUCCCUCUACUUUUGUAUUUUAUAUCAUGGUAAUUAAAUGUUGCCUGGUUAACAUAACACUAAAUCAUAAUAAAAAAAAUUAAUUGUGGAAUGGCAUGGUAGUUGGAUCUAUUUUUUUUUAUGUGUGUGAUUAAAUUAAUUAUUUCGAUAAAUGAAAAAUGUAUUCGGGGACAAAUAAAAAAAAUAAUUUUAUUGCUAGAGAGGCAUGGGAGCCUUUAAUAUUUUGCAAAGGCAUUGGAACACGAUGCCAAGGAAAUGUAAGAUAUUCUCAUCAUUUCGAAGAAAAUUCUAUAUCAUGGAAAUUAAUGCAGAUGGUAGUAUAUAGUCUCAGGGACUAUCUCACGCAAAUUCUUAUCCAUUUUACUUGUUGAUUGUGUUAUAAAAAAUAGACUUUUUCGAAAAAAAAAGAAGAAGACUUAUUAUCAUGACAAUAACAAGAAGUAUUUUAGAAAUAAUAUAAUUUGUGGUUCAUUUUAUCAAUGAUAUUGUUUGAUUUUGCCAUUACCGUCAAGAUUAAGAUUAAUGCAUGAUUUUCCACAUGUUAUUUCCAUAAAGAAAGUAGCAAGUCUUCUUUAUCCGUCAUCGUAAUGAAAGUAGUGUUAACCUUUGAUUCAUAUUCUUAAUACCUUUGGUUUCUUAAGAAAAAUGUCAUAUAUAAAACUUCCAUUCGCAUCUAAAUUGAAACAGUCACAAAUUGAUAUAAUAUUAUUAAUAUUUAUUUUUAAUAUAUAUAUAUAAUGAAAUAUUUUAAUAAUUAAUUAAUAUUGUUAAGCCAUAUAUAUUUUUAUGUUUUUUUUCUUUAAUUUCAUCUCUUAAUAUUGAAUUUUCUUAUCCCGAUCUCAUGAUCCGGGUCGAAGACCUGGUGGGUUAACUUGAGUUUUUUUUAUGUUAUUACUUCCUCCCCUGUCUUGUAUAUAUUGUCCUCUGUUUUUCUUUUAUGCUAGCUAUAGCCUCUAAUUUUGGCUCUAGCACCUUUCUAUAAUAAUACUCGACUAUUAUUUAAAAAGAAAAAGAAAAAAGCAGAAGCACAAAUAACUCGACAAUUUCUCUAAUGUGCAAAGGAGUGUUUGACGUGCUAAGGAUAUAGAGCCUUCCUUCUCUCCUUCUGAUCAAUCGUCUUGGAGGGCCUAUGUUCUUGCCUUGAUCAAGACUCCUAUCUUAUCUUAGUUAUUCAACAAAUAUGAAGAAAUUUUCUAAAAUCAUUUCUUGACAUAAUAUCUUAGUUUUCAUUGUCUCUGAGAAUUAAUAUAAAGCUCAGCAUUUUGUUGAUGGUACCUGCUGCUUGUGGGCAGAGGUACAUUUAUUUCUGUUAACUUUCUAAUAUUAGAUCUUGCAUAAUUUAUUAAAUUUAUUUUAAUAUAUUAAAUAAUGUAAGGCACAAAACAGAUCAUAAUAGAAGACAAUAAAAACAAGUGAUAUAUUUGUUGCACAUGGCAAGUUAUAAAAUGUUUGAUAUACACUUUAGACAUCACAAAGGUUGAUCAUUGUCUUGUACACACAAUUUUUUUUUUAUAGGACUAUCUCAAUCAUGUGCUCAUAAUCAUGAGAUUAGUGUAUUUAUAUAAUUUUGACCCGUUUCCUUUUUCAAUGUUUUUUUUUCUAGUUUCUUCAUUCGAUAUUGGAUAUGAUUUUUUUGUUACCUUUUAUCAAAGCAUAUAGUUGUUUGAUAAAAAAAAAAAAAAACUCUACACUUAUCUCUUGAUAUUUCUAAUUUUUAUUUUGAGUCAUCGUUUAUGGUUUUUUCGCUUAUUAACACAUAUAAUUUUCAAUUUAUUUGACUAUAUUUAUAAAGUUUUUGAUUUUCACUUAAAAGUUUUUUAAAUAAAAUGAGUGGGCACUCAAAAAUUCAUAUACCUUAUCUUCCAAGCAAGAAGAGUCAAGAAAAGCAAUGGGUGAUGUUCUUUUCUCCAACUGUAAAUGGAUGAAGAGAUCAAUACAAAAAACAUGGACAAAAAUUGAUGUGGACCCACACCACUUUGAUUAUUUUUCUAUUGAAGUACUUGAUAAUCUAGUGUAUGUCCAUAAAUUUGUUUACAUUGGUUUCUCUAAUAAAAGUAUAUAAAAAAAUAUUCAAUAAAAUUAUAUUUUUAUUAAUAGAUUUGAACUAAAAAAAACCGUAUAUUUUCAAGCAACCAAGAGGCAGCCAUCCUUCCAAGAAAAUCAUUGUUGCUAAUAGAAAUACUAUAAACAAGAUGGCUGGAAUAGAACCGAAAAAUUCCAGUUUUUUAAAUUCAUGGAACAAGAUAAGAUUAUGAAGAAGAUGUAAUAUUUUUUAAUUUAUUCAAUUUUUUUAAAUUAAAAUAAAAUAUACCUGCCAUUAUAGACAUCACAUAAUUAAAUUAAAAACCAUAACUUUUAGAGCCCCAAGCGUACGGCCCCAUCUCGUGGAAAAAAUGCAUGAUGGCAAUAGUCUCAUAGACCAAUGUGCAGAUGGCAAUGAACUCAUAAAUGCAUGAUGGUGAUUGUCUGUCGAACCCAUUUUGAGGAAAAAAAAUGCAAUUAUAGGAGGAUUGCCACCAUUUAUAGUCAUAUUUUCACCGUUAGAGACAUACAGUAAUUUAGAGAGUUUUAUCAAGGAACAAAGAUAUUUUCGGAGAAUAACAUUUAUAGCGACACUUUUAUGCAAUUCAAUUUUUUUCUUUUUUUAGAUGAACGUGACUUUCUUAAGCUAGUUGUAGUAUAUAGAUUUUUUUAAAAAUAAAAAAUAGAAAUAUAAUUCGCAUCCGAGUAAAUACCUCCACAAAUAUAAUUUCAUUGAAAGUUGCGUCAUGUAUUAAUCUAAAGUCCGUUGUCCAUUAAUAAAUCGGUUGUUGCAUUCUAACACUUGAUAUUUAUUUUUUAUGCUUAAGCAUUUUUUUUUUUUGCAAACUAAUUAAAUUUAAAUUAAAGCAUAUUAAUUAUCCAUUCCCAAGCUUACAGGGUAAUGGUCUCAUGGACCCAUCUCAUAGAAAAAAUGCUUGAUAGCAAUGGUCUCAUGGACCAUUCCGCUGGCAUACAUCGUGGAAAAAUAGAUUGAUAAAUACUUUAGAAAGAAAAAAAAAAAGACUUAUUGUCAUGACAAUGACAUGAAGUAUUUUGGAAAUAAUAUCACCUGUGGUUCAUUUUAUAAACAAUACUAUUUGAUUUUGCCAUCACCAUCAAAAUUAAUGCAUGAUUUUCCACACGUUAUUUUCAUAAAGAACCACAAUUUUAAUGAUGUAGUUUUCAUUUUUUCUAAAAAAAAUAAUAUUAAAAUGAUACAAUUUUAGAUUAACUCUAGUUAACAUAAGAUAACUUGUCCGAACUAUGACCCAAAUCUUGAUCCGAGUAUUAGGGCAAUUUUUGACCUUAACCCUCAUCUAGUUUAAUAACUUUGGUUUUAAUGAAAGAGACAUUCUUAAGAAAAUGUCAUAUAUGACACAUUUAUUCACAUCCAAAUUAAAACAUUCACAAAUUGAUAUAAUAAUUAUUAAUAUUUAUUUUUAAUAUAUAUAAAAUGAAAGAUUUUAAUAAUUGAUUAAUAUUGUUAAACCAUGUGUUUUUAUGGUUUUUUUUCUUUAAUUUAAUCUCUUAACAUUGAAUUUGCUUAUCCUAAAUUCAUGAUCCAGGUCAUAGACUUGAUGCGUUAACUCGAUUUAUAUAUAUAUAUAUAUAUAUAUAUAUAUAUAUAUAUAUAUAUAUAUAUAUUAUGUUAUUACUUUCUCCCCUCUUGUAUUAUUAUAAAAAAAGAAAAAGAAAAAAAGAAGCAGAAGCAGAAAUAACUCGACAAUUUCUCUAAUGUGCAAAGGAGUGUUUGACGUGCUAAGGAUAUAGAGCCUUCCUUCUCUCCUUCUGGUCAAUUAUCUUGGAGAGCCUAUGUUCUUGCCUUGAUCAAGACUCCUAUCUUAUCUUAGUUAUUCAACAAAUAUGACGAAAUUUUCCAAAAUCAUUUCUUGACGUAACAUCUCACCCACCCCUUAUGCCCUUGCACAGACUUGCCCGCGGGGCAUCUUUUAUAUGGAAUAUAUAUACAGUUUCCAAAAGGUCUGAGGAAUCGAACAAAGAGGGCAAUGAUUGGGCAUCAAUCUUGAAACUUUUGCCUUUCAGUUUUUCCUCUUACGCUCUUCAAUAAAUGGGAAAGAGGAAACACCACGGAAAGGUGUAAACUGACAAGAAAUUCAAUGCUCACACUUUGAAUUUUAAUUUGCAUGUUUCGGGUCAUUGACAGCUAUGCAUUAAAAUCUCAUUUAUCGGGGAUCAAAAACUUGAUGGACAGAUUAAUGUUAAAUAGGAAUUUUUAUGGAGCGCAGUCACAGACAUAUCUAGAGAAGAUACAGAGUUAAGGACAUGUUUAUAAAAAUUAAUUUUUUUACGACCCUCCUUUUCAAUUGAAAUCUUGAAGGAUAACACAAGAAGUAUAUUGUAUCACUUUCUGACAAUAUUAGUGUAAGGUAAAACUAUAGAGAAAGUGAAGAAAAUAUUAGAGCAAAAGACGACAUUUUUCCAACCCACUAAUUAAUUCCUUCAAAGAGGAAGAUUCUCUAUUUCUUGAAAGGAUAAUUUUGCACUAUUUUUUUUUCUUGCGGAACGCAUUCACACAACAUUUAAAAUUUAGGAAAACUAAAUCUAUGAUUUUUUUUUAUAAAUUGAUCUUAUUGUUAUUUUUUUUAUCGUCCCAUAUAUACCUUAAGUAAACCUUACUUUUAAUUAUUUCGAUGAAUAAAACAUUUAUUUUUAAUUUUAUUAUAAGUUUUUUCUUAAUUUUUUAUGAUAAUUGAGGAAUAUAUAUAUUAAUACCGAAAAAACACCCAAGUUUAAAUGACCUGCCAUCAAAAUUAAUCAAUCGGUGGUUGCAUUAUUCUAACACACUACAUUAAGAUUUAUUUUUUUUCAAUUUGAAUACUUAUAUUCAUUAAAUGUAAUCAAGAAAAUAUCUUUAUUAGUUUUUUUUUUAUUAUUAGUGUUGUUACCCAUUUUUUGACCCACCUUUUUAAUAAAUUUUUUGAAAAAAUCCAAAAAUAGUGAAAAACAAUAAAAAUCCAAAAAAAUAUGUUUUUAAUAUAUUUGCAAUGUUUUUAGCAUUUUCAACGUCUUCUAAAAAGAAUUUUAAUUUUCAAUUGUUUUUUUCGAACGCGUUCGACUUUUCACGCAUCAUUUUAAAAUCAUUAUUUUUCUCAUAGAAUUGAUGUUGAUUUUGCUCAUUUUUUAAAAAAUACAAGAAAAAACAAGAAAAAUCAAAAUUUAUAUAAAAAAAAAAGUUGAGGGGCCAAUUUGGAGGCUUGAACAAACUUUUACCUAUAAAUAUAGGUUGAAAGCUCAAAGGAAAAGGGGAGGGGGGGACAAUUUUGUAAUCAGGGGGAGGCAACACAAGGGGGAAAACCCUAAAAAACUAAACAGCUUCCUCUCCCUCAUGAAGGACCAGCCGGCAGCCCCUGCUGGGUUUUGAUUUUUUUUCAGCCGCCGGCUCCCCCAGAUAUCCCCUUUUGGAUUUUUUUUGCUUCCCCUCAGCAGCGGGCACAAGCAGCAGCCCCUCUCUUGCAAAAAACACAAACCAGGGCACAUCCGUUUUCUCCUUCAUUUUUUUUUCCUCGGUUCCACCGAUCAUCCUCCACUCAAAAGCCAAACAAGCCCUUCCCCUGGUUUUGAAUUUUUUUACAUUGGAACCCCCCUCUUCUUCUUCUUCAGCCCCGAUCCAAACGGAGCCGUCCCCCCCGCUGGUUUUGAUUUCUUUUCUCCAGUCGCCGGCCUCCCCAUUUUUUCUUCUCACAGGCCGACACCGGCCAAACAGUCCCUCUCCCUUCUCCUCCAAAACCGAACCGAUCCCCUCCUGGUCGAUCCAUCCUAGCAGCUGCUUCUCCCCGCAGACCCGUGAUCAUCAACGCCGCCACAGACCCGAUUUCCUCAGCACCAUGACCGGCUAGCCUCACAGACGACAGCAACAAGAUCCACGGGCAACAGCAGCAGGCGAUCUUCCAUCUUCAACCGGCGACAGACCCACGGUCUCCCUCUUCAGUCGCAGGUGCCAUUUCUUCUUCGCCCUCCGAUCAGACCACCGUUUCUCUUCCCCUGGCCGGACAUCCAUCCCAUCGCCACCGUAGCUUCAGCGGCCACGGACGACCUGCAACCGGCAGAGAAUCCCCACAGAGAAGAAGGCGAAACAGAGAGGGGCAGAUCCAAAACGGCGGAGAGAGGAAGGACAGAAAAAAACAGAUCUGAAAAACUAAGAAAAAAUUAAAAUCAACUGCUUUACUUGCGUUUUUUGUGCGUUUGCAGGUGACGGUGGGUGUCACCACCGGCAGAGAAGGGAAGAGAAGGAGAAAACAGGGCAGAUCCGCCCGUUUCCGGCAUGGUCGGCCACUGUUCCUGCGGGUGGCAGAAGGGCAAUGCUGCAAUUUCUGGAGUUUAGAGACUAUUUUGUAAUUUUGUAAAUUAUGUAAUGUAAUUUUUAUUUAGUUUGAAUUGUUUUUAUAAUUUGUAAUGUGAUGUAUAAAAAGAACAAAAAAAAAAGAGAAAAUAAUAAUAGAAAAAGAGUUGUGUGUGUGUUUGGUAUUUGUUUUUCCUAUGUAUGUUGUUGAAUCAAAAGAAAAAAAAUGAAUUUAAUAUUUUAAUUUAUAUGCACAAAUAUCUAAAGGACAGAUAAAAAUCAUGUUGAAUUUUCCAUGGAAAUGUAGAACAUGUAUCUACAUAUAGUCUGGAAAAGUAAUAACUGAUUUAUCAAAGCCUUAGAAUUGGGCUAAAAUUUUCUUGAAAGUGUGUAUUUUUGUUUAUGAAUGUUUUUUUUAUUUAUGAUAAAAUUGCAAGAAUAAAGAAGAAUUUAAUAUUCUGAUUUAAUCACGGAUAAACAAUCAUGAACUUACAUGUAAGUUGUAUUUUCUAAAAUUCGAUGAAAGAACAAAAUUUUUAAAACUUCUUUAACACAUCAAGUCCACAAAGCAGCUUACCUCAGGUAGGGUGCGUUAGGGGUGAUAAUACCUUCCCUAACCAUAACCAGUCCCUUACCCGCGAUCUCUGACAAGACCAGUACAUCAGGUUUCCUAGUAGCCCUCAAUGAAUUACUAGGUAGCGACUCCAAAGAACCAAAUCAACAAAACAGAACGAAUAAUCGCCAGCCGAUGCCGCGAUCCGGAUUUUUUUGGGGUGCGACAAUUAGAAUGAUGACGACAUAGUUAAUUCUUUUUAGAUUAGUCUGGAUUGAUUUUACUUUAUUUUUAAUUCAUAAACAAUAAAGUUAUGUAAAAUGCUUAUCAUUUUUUAUUUAUUUAAGUACUCUAAUUGAUUUUAUUUUUCUAUUUAAGUACUUGAUAAACUAGUGCUUGUAUAUAAAUUUGUUUAAAUUAAUUUCUCUAAUAAAAGUAUAUAAAACAAAUUCAAUAAAACUAUAUUUUUAUUAAUAGAUUUGAACUAAAAAACCGUAUAUUUUCAAGUAAUCAAGAGGCAGUCUUCCUUCCAAGAAAAUCAUUGUUACUAACGCCAUUAACAUUUGAAUUAAUAGCCCCAUCUUAAUAUAAAUGUUGAUCAAUCAUUACUAAAUUGCUUCUGGUAUAAGUAACUAUCUCUUGCAAAUGGCAGCUAGAAGUUUCAAUUAGAGUUAUAAUUAGUGUUUUAUUUUUUCAAAUGUACCAAUAUGUUUUGGUUUUUGUGUAUUUUUACUUGUUUGUUCUAUAUAUAUAUAUAAUUCAAAAUAUUAAUUUAACAAACAUAAUUUCAAGUUAAAUUUAAAGAUAAACUAACUUGAAAUUAUGCAAUUUAAAUUUUAAAUAUAAGUAAAAAAAUAAGAGCUAAAUUGGUAUGACUCAAUCGAUUCAAUAAGCUCAAAAAUAGUCUGGACAAUUAAUAAAAAUAUAGUUUUACUUAAAAAAGUUCAAAAUGACAUAUUUUUUUAAAAAAAUAUUGAGAUAAGAACAUGUUGGAUCGAUUUAAGUCAAUAUGGGUUAACCUUAAAAAUCAAUGACUCAAGUCAUGAGACUAUAAUAACCCCAAAAAAAAAAAAAAAAAAAAAUUAUAAAUCUUAAUAUUCAAUAAAUCUAUUCAGCCUGAUGGGCAGUAAUUGUUUUGCGUGGUCUAGGAUUGGGGGUUAGGCGAGUGGGUUCUCAACGCAUCUAUGUUUCUGCCUUUUAAAGAUUUGCAAAGUCUUGUAAAAAUAAUAUCAUUUGUGGUUCAUUUUAUUAACUAUACUGUUUGAUUUUUCUAUCACCAUCAAAAUUAAGGCAUGAUUUUCCACACGUUAUUUCCAUAAAGAAAGUAGCAAGUCUUCCAUAUUUGUCAUUGUCAUUCAAAGUGAGUUGCCUAGUGUUAACCUUUGAUUCAUAUUUUUCCAAAAAAAAAAAAAACCAGCGUGGUUCAAUUUUAUAUAUAAAAAAAGUGACAUGGGUUCAACGUUAUAAGAAGGAAUACAAGUUUUCGGUUAAUUACUUUUAUGCAAUUCAAUUUUUUUCUACAAUGUGGUUUUAAUCAGCAUUGUUAAAUUUAAUUCAAGCCUAACAUUUUAAUUUGGAACCUAACCCGAUUUAGGUUUAGAAAAAACCAAGUGAGAGUUGACUCAAUCAAGCCUAGUUGACCAAAUAAAUCAACCCAUAACUUAGUCACCUCAGUCAGAAACUUUUUUUAACCACGUAGUUUUGAUUUUUUCUAAAAACAAAUCUUAAAAUGAUAUAAUUUUAGAUUAACACCAUUCAACAUAAGCUAACUUGUAUUAGGCCAAUCUAUGACCUAAACUCUUCUCUAGGUAUUAAAUCUAAUCAUGUUAAAUAAUUUUGGUUUUAAUGAUCGAGACAUUCUUAAGAAAAAUGUCAUAUAAAAACAUUUAAUCGCAUCCAAAUUGAAACAUUCACAAAUUGAUAUAAUAGUUAUUAAUAUUUAUUUUUAAUAUAUAUAAAAUAAAGAUUUUAAUAAUUGAUUAAUAUUGUCAAAUCAUAUAUGUUUUGUGGUUUUUGUUUUUAAUUUUAUCUUUUAAUAUUGAGUUUGCUUAUCCCAAUCUCAUGAUUCGGGUUGUAGACUUGAUGUAUUAACUCGAGUUUUUUUUAAUAUAUAUAUUAUGUUAUUACUUCCUCCCCUGUCUUGUAUAUACUGUCCUCUGUUUUUCUUUUAUGCUAGCUAGCCUCUAAUUUUGGCUCUAGCACCUUUCUAUAAUAAUACUCACUAUUAUAAAAGAAAAGAAAAAAAAAGAAGCAGAAGCAGAAAUAGCUAGCUCGACAAUUUCUCUAAUGUGCAAAGGAGUGUUUGACAUGCUAAGGAUAUAGAGCCUUCCUUCUCUCCUUUAGUCAAUCGUCUUGGAGAGCCUAUGUUCUUGUCUUGAUCAAGACUCCUAUCUUAUCUUAGUUUUUCAACAAAUAUGAAGAAAUUUUCCAAAAUCAUUUCUUGACAUAGCAUCUCACCCACCCCUCAGCCCUUUGUCAAGUCCACCGUCUUGGAGAGCCUAUGUUCUUGCCUUGAUCAAGACUCCUAUCUUAUCUUAGUUUUUCAACAAAUAUGAAGAAAUUUUCCAAAAUCAUUUCUUGACAUAGCAUCUCACCCACCCCUCAGCCCUUUGUCAAGUCCACCGUCUUGGAGAGCCUAUGUUCUUGCCUUGAUCAAGACUCCUAUCUUAUCUUAGUUUUUCAACAAAUAUGAAGAAAUUUUCCAAAUUCAUCAUUUCUUGACAUAACAUCUCACCCACCCCUUAGCCCUUUGUCAAGUCCACCGUCUUGGAGAGCCUAUGUUCUUGCCUUGAUCAAGACUCCUAUCUUAGUUAUUCAACACAUAUGAAGAAAUUUUCCAAAAUUAUCUCUUGACGUAACCCCUCAGCCCUUUCUCAAGUCCUCCGCCACUCUCGGUAAAUUAUACUAUAACAUCUCAUAUACAGUUUCCAAAAGGUCUGAGGAAUAGAGCAAAGAAGGCAAUGAAUGGGCAUCAGUCUUGAAACCACAAUGAUCCGAUGGACGAGAGCCGCUAGUGGAGAAUGAUUCAUGCAUCUCUGGUUUUGUGUGUUUCUCAUGCUCUUUUUCACUGUACAACAGAACUUUUGCCUUCUCAGUUUUUCCUCUUAGACGCUCUUCAAUCAAUGGAAAGAGGAAACACCACAGAAAGGUGUAAACUGACAAGAAAUUCAAUGCUCACACUUUGAAUUUUAAUUUGCAUGUUUCAGGUCAUUGACAGAUAUACAUUAAAGUAGACUUAAUGUUUAUUGUAUUACAAAAAAAUAGACUCUUUAGAAAGAAAAAGAAGAAGACUUAUUGUCAUGACAAUGACAAGAAGUCUUGUAGAAAUAAUAUCAUUUGUGGUUCAUUUUAUCAAUGAUACUCUUUAAUUUUGCCAUCACCAUCAAAAUUAAGGCAUGAUUUUCCAUUCGUUAUUUCCAUAAAGAAAGUAGUAAGUCUUCUAUAUCCGUCUUUGUCAUUCAAAGUGAGCCGCCUAGUGUUAACCUUUGAUUCAUAUUUUUCCAAAAAAAAUAGAGAGACAUUGGUUCAACUUUAUAAGAAAGAAUACAAGUUUUUGGUUAAUUACUUUUAUGCAAUUCAAUUUUUUUCUACAAUGUGGUUUUAAUCAGCGUUGUUCAAUUUAAUUCAAGCCUAACAUUUUAAUCUAGAACCUAACCCAAUUCAAGUUUAGAAAAAACUAAGUGAGAGUUGACCCAAUCAAGUCUAAUCGACCAAAUAAAUCAACCCACAACCUAGUCACCUUCGUCAAAAACUAGUUUUACUUUUUUUAACUACACAAUUUUGAUUUUUUCCCAAAAAAAUCUUAAAAUGAUACAAUUUUAGAUUAACACCAUUCAACAUAAGCUAACUCGUCCGAUAUAUGAUCUCAAUCUUGAUCUGAGUAUUAGGCCAAUCUAUGACCUAAACCCUCAUCUAGGUAUUAAAUCUAAUCAUGUUAAAUAAUUUUGGUUUUAAUAAAAGAGACAUUCUUAAGAAAAAUGUCAUAUAUAAAACAUUUAUUCGCAUCCAAAUUGAAACAUUCACAAAUUGAUAUAAUAGUUAUUAAUAUUUAUUUUUAAUAUAUAUAAAAUGAAAGAUUUAAUAAUUGAUUACUAUUGUUAAACCAUAUAUGUUUUUAUGGUUUUUUUUUUUUAAUUUCAUCGCUUAACAUUGAGUUUGUGUAUCCUGAUCUCAUGAUCCGGAUUGUAGAUUUGAUGCGUUAAGUCGAGUUUUUUUUUAAUGUGCAAAGGAGUGUUUGACAUGCUAAGGAUAUAGAGCUUUCCUUCUCUCCUUCUGUCAAUCGUCUUGAAGAGCCUAUGUUCUUGCCUUGAUCAAGAAUCCUAUCUUAGUUAUUUAACACAUUUUCCAAAAUCAUUUCUUGACAUAACAUCUCACCCGCCCCUCAGCCCUUUGUCAAGUCCUCCGUCACUCUCGGUAAAUUAUUCUAUAACAUCUCAUAUACAGUUUCCUAAAGGUUUGAGGAAUCGACCAAAGAGGGAAAUGAUUGGGCAUCAAUCUUGAAACCACAAUGAUCCAGUUGAGAAUAAUGGAAUGUGUUGGGUUGUGCCUUAGCCAACCUUCCUAUUUAUAUAGAGGCAGCAGAACACUGCUGUAACUGUAAUGAUUACAACAUCCUAUAUUACUUUCCUAUUCUGAUAGAUACAUGAGCAACUGUAAUGAUUACAACAUUAUAUAUUACUUUUCUAUUCUAUAAUAUGCCCCCUCAAGCUGAGGGUGGGGGAUUAACCCGAAGCUUGAACCAAAAAGCAGUAAAUGAUGCAACAGGAAGCGGUUUAGUGAAGACAUCGGCAAGUUGAUCCCGAGAGGGAACAAAACGAAUCUGAAUUUCUUUCUUGGCAACACAGUCAUGGACAAAGUGAUAAUCCACUUCAACAUGCUUAGUACGAGCAUGGAAGAUAGGAUUUACUGAGAGAUAGGUAGCACCAAGAUUAUCACACCAAAUGGUAGGAGCAGAGACUGAGGGAACCUACAAAUCUAUCAACAAGUAUUGAAGCCAAAUGACUUCAGCGGUACCAUCAACAAGGGCUUUAUACUUAGCCUCAGUAGAGGAGCGAGCAACAGUGCGUUGCUUGCCGGAUUUCCAAGAAAUCAGCGUCUGACCAAAAUAAACAAGAUAGCCGCCCGUAGACUUGCGAUCAUCAAUACUACCAGCCCAAUCUGCAUCUGUAAAGCCAUGUAGAGCAAAAGAGGAGCCUCGAGUGAUAUGGAAACCAUAAGAUGCCAUACCUUUAAGAUAGCGUAAAAUAUAUUUGACAGCGGCCCAAUGAGAAUCUGUAGGAGCAUACAUAAACUGACAGACUCUGUUAACAGCAAAGCAUAUAUCUGGACGGGUGAAGGUAAGAUAUUGAAGAGCACCCACAAUUUGAUGAAAUCGUGUAGGAUCAGAGAAUGAAUGAUCCAGUAAUAAAAUGACUUUCAAAGGGGAGACUGGAGUAUCAACUGGUUUGCAGGAAGUCAUACCAGCUCGGGUGAGGAUGUCAAAAAUAUAUUUAUGUUGACGUAGCAUUAAACCCAUAUCGGUAGACUGAACUUCAAUACCUAGAAAGUAGUGAACAACACCUAAGUGAGUUGUAUCCAUCAUCUUCAUGGAAAAUGAGGGCUCUGUAUCCAUCAUCUUCAUGGAAAGUGAGCUGGCCAGCGUCAACCAUUUAUUCAUGUUUUUCUACAAAAGACUUUGACUUGGGGUUAACUUGUCGGUUAAUGUUUUUUUAUAAUGUUAGAAAAAUCACUUUAAUUAUUCUUUCAAUCUUCCCGUGUGAUUCACUUCUUGGUGAUUCUAAAGUCGCCUAUUCAAACUUUAGCACAUUAUACAACUAAAUUUAUUCUUUCACUCGGCAUUUAUUAUAAAUUCAAUUCGUUAAUCGUUAGAAAACUUAGUGAUUAAUAAAUUAUCUUUGUCAGAGUUAACUGUUUUUAGAUAAGUCUGGAUCAUUAUUUCUGUUUUAUUUUUAAUUUUUGAACUAUAAAAAUAUAGAUAAAUUUAAAAUAAAUAUCUUUUUACAAUAGUAUUUGAGUGAAAUUGGAGUAAAAUUUAUACUUUUAAAUAAAAAAUAUAUAAAAACUUGUUUUCUAUGUUCCCACUAUUUUUGUAUUUUAUAUCAUGGUAAUUAAAUGUUGUCUAGUUAACAUAACACUAAAUCAUAAUUUAAAAAAAAAAUUGUGAAAUGGCAUUGUAGUUGGAUAUUUUUUUUUUGUGAUUAAAUUAAUUUUUUCGAUAAAUGACACCUGUAUUCGGGAACAAAUAAAAAAAUAAUCUUAUUGCUAGAGAGGCAUUGGAGCCUUUAAUAUUUUGCAAAGGCAUGGAACACGAUGCUAAGGGAAUGUAAGGUAGUUGUUGAUAGCUGGCGUCAACCAGAAAAUUCUAAAAUAUUCUCAUCAUUUCAAAGAAAAUGCUCUCCUGUACCCAUCUCGUAGAAAACAAUGCAUCAGAGUAAAUAGAUUUUUUCCUUUUUUUUUAGAUGAACGUGACUUUCUUAAGCUACUUGUAGUAUAUAGAAUUUUUUAAAAUAAAAAAAUAGAAAUAUAAUUCGCAUCCGAGUAAAUACCUUCACAAAUUAAUAUAAUAUGUUUUAAUAUUUACUUUUAAUAUAUAUAAAAUGAAAGAUAUUAAGAGUUGAUUAAUAUUGUUAAGCCAUAUAUGUUUAUAAAAGUCAUUUCUUUUAAAACACAUGAUAUGUUUACAUAUUUGCAAUAUGUAUGUAUUUUGAAUUUAAUAUUAAUAAUUAUAAAAUUUAUAUAGUUAAUAAAAACAGCUCCACUUUUGUUCUAUUGUCUUUCUUUCACUAUUGUUCUUUUUUCUUCUUCUUUUGAAAUGCCUUGUCUCUCUUUCUUUUCUGUUUUUCAUCUUUCAAUCCUUCAAGAUUCAAAAUACAUUGCAAUUUACGUUAGGAAUAUUGAUGAAAAAUUAAAUAUAACCAGAAAACAAAUACAAAAAAAAAUGAUUUUCUAGUAAAGCAUUUACAUUUCCAUUGGAAGAUGCGUCAUAUAUUAAUUUAAGGUUCGUUGUCCAUUAAUUAAUUGGUGGUUGCAUUCUAACACUUGAGAUUUAUUUUUUAUGCUUAAGCAUUUAAUUAUUAUUUUUUUGUAAACUAAAUUGAAAUUAAAGCAUAUUAAUUAUCCAUUCCCAAGCUUAAGGGGCAAUGGUCUCAUGGACUCAUCUCAUAGAAAAAACGCUUGAUCAUGGACUAUAUUGUGGAAAAAAUGUAGAUGGCAAUAUAUAGUCUCGAUGACCCAUCUCACACUGCAAAUUCAUAUCCUUCUUACUUGUUGAUUGUGUUACAAAAAUUAGACUCCUUAGAAAGAAAAAAGAAAAAGACUUGUUGCCAUGACAAUGACAAGAAGUCUUGUAAAAAUAAUAUCAUUUGUAGUUUAUUUUAUUAACGAUACUUUUUUAUUUUGUCAUUACCAUCAAAAUUAAAGCAUGAUUUUCCACACGUUAUUUCCAUAAAGAAAAUAGCAAGUCUUCUAUAUUCGUCUUUGUCAUUCAAAGUGAGCUACCUAGUGUUAACCUUUGAUUCAUAUUUUUUCAAAAAAAAAAAAAAAACAAAACAAAACAGACAUGGGUUCAACUUUACAAGAUGGAAUGCAAGUUUUCAGGUAAUUACUUUUAUGCAAUUCAAUUUUUUCUACAAUGUGGUUUUAAUCAACAUUGUUAAAUUUAAUUCAAGCCUAACAUUUUAAUCUAGAACCUAACCCGAUUUAGGUUUAGAAAAAACCAAAUGAAAGUUGACUCAAUGAAGCCUAGUUAACUAGAUAAAUUAACCCACAACUUAGUCAACUCAGUCAGAAACUAGUUUAACUUUUUUUAACUACGCAAUUUUGAUUUUUUCUAAAACAAAAUCUUAAAAUGAUACAAUUUUAGAUUAACACCAUUCAACAUAAGCUAACUUGUCCGAUUUAUAACCCAAAUCUUGAUCCGAGUAUUAGGCCAAUCUAUGACCUAAACCCUCAUCUAGGUAUUAAAUCUAAUCAUGUUAAAUAAUUUUGGUUUUAAUAACGAGACAUUCUUAAGAAAAAUGUCAUAUAUAAAACAUUUAGUCGCAUCCAAAUUGAAACAUUCACAAAUUGAUAUAAUAGUUAUUAAUAUAUAUAAAAUAAAAGAUUUUAAUAAUUGAUUAAUAUUGUCAAAUCAUAUAUGUAUUUUGUGGUAUUUGUUUUUUAAUUUCAUCUCUUAACAUUAAGUUUGCUUAUCCCAAUCUCAUGAUCCGGGUCGAAGACUUGAUGGGUUAAUAUAUAUAUAUAUAUAUAUAUAUAUAUAUAUAUUAUGUUAUUACUUCCUCCCGCUGUCUUGUAUAUAUUGUCCUUUGUUUUUCUUUUAUGCUAGCUAGCCUCUAAUUUUGGCUCUAGCACCUUUCUAUAAUAAUACUUGACUAUUAUAAAAAAAGAAAAAAGAAAAAAAAAAGCAGAAGCAGAAAUAACUCAACAAUUUCUCUAAUGUGCAAAGGAGUGUUUGACGUACUAAGGAUAUAAAGCCUUCCUUCUCUCCUUCUGGUCAAUCGUCUUGGAGAGCCUAUAUUCUUAGUUAUUUCUUAUCUUAGUUAUUCAACAAAUAUGAAGAAAUUUUCCAAAAUCAUUUCUUGACACAACAUCUCACCCACCCCUCAGCCCUUUGUCAAGUCCUCCGUCCCCUUUUGCCCGAUGGUUGGGCAUCAGUCCUGAAACCACAAUGAUCCGAUGGACGAGAGUGGAGAAGGAUUCAUGCGUCUCUGCUUUUGUGGAUUUCUCAUGCUCUUUUUCACUGUACAACAGAACUUUUGCCUUGUCAGUUUUUUCUCUUAGACGCUCUUCAAUCAAUGGAAAGAGGAAACACCACAGAAAGGUGUAAACUGACAAGAAAUUCAAUGCUCACACUUUGAAUUUUAAUUUGCAUGUUUCAGGUCAUUGACAGCUAUAUAUAUAUAUAUUUGAAGUUUUUGAAUAUAAUACUGUAGCCACACAAUUCAUACGGAUAAGAUUUAUAAUUAUUCCAAGUUUAUUAUUAUUGAUUAUUUAUGCAUUUAAUUAUAUAUAUGAUAGUGAUGACACCAUGCAAAUACUUCUAAAUGAUUCUAAAUUAUGACCAGAGAACUAUAAUUAUUAAAGUCAAAAAGAUUUUACGCCAAAUCACAUGGAGUAUUGCAACAAUGUUAUUUUUUUAUAUAUAUAAAUUGGAUAAUUAGUAACCCUAAAUAACAUUCAAAUCCUAGAAUAUUCCAAAAAAUAAAAUAAAAUAAUAUUCAAAUCUCAAAACAUGUAACCCUAAAUUAUGACAAGGGAAGUACAAUUAUAAAGUCAAAAAAAUCUUACACGAAUAUAGAUAACAAUGUUGAAGUACUACAACAUUUUUUUUUUUUUUAUUUAUAUAAAUUGGAUAAUUAAUAACCAAAAUAUAAUUUAAUGCAAAUAGACUAAGUGCAAAACAAUAAAUUAAAAUAAUAUUCAAAUCCUAGAAUAUUCCAAAAAGAAAUAAAAUAAUAUUCAAAUCUCAAACAUGAAACCCUAAAUUAUGAUGAGAGAAGUACAAUUAUAAAGUAAAAAAAAAUUUAUGCAGAAUCACACACGAAUGUCGAUAACAAUGUUGAAGAACUACAACAAUUUUUUUAUUUUAUUUAUAUAAAUUGGAUAAUUAAUAUCCAAAAUAUAAUUUAAUGUAAAUAUACUAAGUGCUAAACAAUAAAUUAAAAUAAUAUUCAAAUCUCAAAACAUGUAACCCUAAAUUAUUAUGAGAGAGGUAUAAUUAUAAAGUUUGUUCUAACCCAAUUUUUUAUUCACUAAGAUUUUAUUGAAUGUUAUUUUAUUUCUAUUAUUAUUCAUAAAAAUCCAAAAAAAUUAAGAAAAAAGUUUAAUAUUCAAAUUAUAUUUUUCUCGAGUCAACCGCAUCUUUCCAUAGAAAACCGAGCCCGCCGGGUCAAUACAGGUCAAACCAUGUCGACCAGGGUAAAAAAUGAGUUUUCAUGACGUUUCGGGUCAAAACUGUCAUUUUCGAUCAAAACCAUCAUUUUUUAUCAAAACCGAGCCCACCGGGUCAAUACGGGUCAAACCAUGUCGACCAGAGUAAAAAAUGAGUUUUCAUGACGUUUCGGGUCAAAACCGUCAUUUUCGGUCAAAACCGUCAUUUUUUAUCAGAACCGAGUCCACCGGGUCAAUACGGGACAAAUCGAGCCUGUUUGGCUUUGCAGCUGCGGCUGCGUUUUAUUUAAAACGCAGUGCGCAACUGUUUGGUAACAUAUAAAAUCAAUUUAAAACGCAAUGUGCAGCUAUUUGGUAACUUAAAAAUAGUGAACAGUGCAAUUCUCUUGCACUAUUCGCUUGCUUGCGAGAACUCUUUUUUUUUUUAGUGUGUUAUUUAAAAAAAAACUAGUUUAAAGUAAAUUUUAUACCUGAUAAUAUUUUAUUCAAUUUUAUUAAAUGCUAAAAAUAUUAUGAAAACUGUAGUUUUUGUCGGAUGUAUUUCGUACGUAAUGGAAUUAUAAAUGGUUUAAUGGAAUAAUUAAAAAUAUUUUAUAUAAUUUAUGAUUUAUUUCAUGAUAUAAUAGAAAUAAUUAAAUUCACAAUAUUUAAAUUAAAAAUCUUUAGUAUUAAUAUAUAUUUUUAAAAUUAUUUUAUAACCUCAAUUUUAAAAUUAAACACUCUUAACCAAACACAUUAAACUACUUUUUCUUUAACUUCAAUUUCAACCACAAUUUUAACCAAACACCUAUUUUUUCAAACCAACCUCAACUAAAAGUACUUUCUAUAAAACAACUUUUUUAAAACCACAACAGCUACCGCAAUACCAAACACACAUCAUGUCGACCGAGGUAAAAAAUGAGUUUUCAAGUUGUUUUGGGUCAAAACCAUUAUUUUUCGGUCAAAACCCGGUUCACCGGGUUGAUACCCAUCAAAUGUUUUUUUUUUUGUGUUCCAAUAUAAUUUUGUUUUGGUAAUUAAUUUUCUUUUUUUUAUUUUGCAGUUGAAAUAGGCUUUUUCUAAUACUAAUUUAAGUUUUUUUAGUUUUGCCCAUAUAAAUAUUUAUUAUUAUAUAUAAUAAAACAAAAUUAAUAAUAUAGGAAUUUAUUAUAGUAGGUGGGUUAGUUGCAGCGGUGCAUUUUUUUUCUUGUGAAUAAAUACGUUGUCCCCUGCUGAUUGGCUAUAAAUAGCCACGACAACAGAGGGGAAGAGGAGGAAGAAAGAAGAAAAGAAAAGAGUGUACUAUUCAAUAUUUUUUCUAGUUUUUCUUCAUGAGAGUAAGAUAUUGUUUUUUUUUAAAUUUUUUUUUGAAAAAUACCAAAAAUAUCCUAACCGUUAGAACUAAUAGUGUUAGUUCUGGACCUUUGAUGUAAUAGGAUACAAUAGGGUUUACCACACUAGAUUAAAACGUAAAUCCAUCUCAGCCUUUGAAAUAAUCUUCUAUUUUAUCUUGUCAUGCCACAUCACCCGAUGUACCUAGCUUUCGGUGCACUGCUCCACACCAGAUAAAAGCUCAGCUCAUCCGAAACGCGUGUGAGCCACACGCGCCACCAGUGCCAUUUUCAUAAGUUUUCGAAAAAUCCGAGGGUAUUUCAGUCUUUUACCUAUACAGUCGCACUAGGGUAAAUUGUUUUGAGAUUCUUAACAUUUUUUUUAUAUUUUUUAUAUAAGUAUUUGUAAAUUUUCUUGCAUGUAAAAAAUAAAAAAAACAAAAAUAAAUAUAAAAGGAAAAAUGACGCAGGUCCAACAUCCAUCUUAUCAUGUUAUUGUUUGUGGGUUCAAAGCCCAAUUCUCAAGAAGGGUUGUACCUAUUUCUCAAUGAUAUCAAAAUAUUUUUUGUUUUAUAAACGAAUAUUGUUUGUCGACACGUCUUUUUUUACAGAAAAAGACCGAUGUCAAAAAUUUUAAAUACCAAAUAUGGAUUAUAUAUGUCCAUAAUUGUUUUUUUUUUUUGGUAACUCAGACGUAAAUCUUUUUUUUAAGGUUAAACAUCAAUAUUUUAGAUGAGUCUUCUAUUUUUAGGGAUUGAUGCCAUUUUUAACAUGUCUCCUAUUUUUAGGGACCGACAUUAACCAUUUAAAAAAUAAUAAAAUUGCAAAUAAGCUCAAAAUAUAAUAUCAUUUGAAACAAAAAAAAACACACACACACAAGUAAAGGUAACUUUUCUCUUGAAGGGAUGAUUUAAGGGUGGUGUCUACCUUCCCUUAAUCAUAAUUAACCUAAUACCUGAAUCUCUAGGACCAGUGUCUAAUUUGGAAUUUCUAGUUCCUUCAUAUUACUAGAUGACGACUCCAAUAAAAUCUUUAUUUUCCCUAAUUGAAAAACAAAAUCUUUUUGUUAAAUAAACAAAAUAAUAGGAGUUGUCACCCAACGUCGUGUAUCGACAAAGUCAUGAAAACAAUCUUACGAAUGUCUACAAUAUUUUUAUUUAUUUAUUUUUAUAUAAAUUGGUUAAUUAGUAACCAAAAUAUAAUUAAAUACAAAUAGACUAAAGGCGGAACUGAACAAUAAAAUAAAGGCCGAACUGCACAAGAUAAUAUUCAAAUCUAUAUUAUCGACAAACACACCAUAAAGGAUGAAGUGUCAGACUUUGUCACUUUUAGGUUAAUUCCGUUGGAUCAUGUUGAAUUGUCAACAAUGGUGCGAGGUUCUCUAGGAUACUUAGACCUGAGUACUUGCACACAAGCCAACUGACGGGCAAAAGUUAUGUUUACAGUUUUGGAGUGGUUCUUGUGGAACAACUAACUGGGAUGAAGGCAAUUUCCUUCGAUAAGCCUGAGGGCCUUUAAGUGCUAAACAAUAAAAUAAAAUAAUAUUCAAAUCCAAGAAUAUUCCAAAAAGAAAUAAAAUAAUAUUUAUGCACAAGAUAUGCAGAUAAAGUCAAGGAAAUUAAAUGGCCAAAGUGUAGUAUAAAUAGGACCUCUAUGGUUGCCCAAAGGCACAUAACAAACAACAAUAUUCUACGUAGUAGUUCAUAGAAUAUUAUCUAAGAUGAUGAUGAAAAGAAUUGGGGCUUGGAUGCUGCUAGCAUUAUUGACUCUGGUUGGCGAAUGGGCUGGUCGUUGUUAUGGAUGUUUGGAGGAGGAGAGGGUUGGUCUCUUGGAGAUCCAAUCUUUGAUCGACCCAUAUGGCAUUUACUUGAGAGGUUGGGUGGACAGUAAUAAUUGUUGUGAGUGGUAUGGGAUCGAGUGUGAUAACACUACAAGGCGAGUGAUCCAGCUCUCUCUUAGUUGGUCAAGGGAUGAGAGCUUGGGCGAUUGGGUUCUCAACGCAUCUUUAUUUCGGCCUUUCAAAGAAUUGCAAAGUCUUGAAUUGAGAUAUACUGGAUUGGUUGGUUGCAUGGAGAAUGAAGGUUAGUUCAAUGUUUCUGCACUUAAUUAUAAUCAUAAAAUAAAUGAAGGUUGGUUGGUGUUUAAUGUCAAUUAUCUUGCUUUGAUGAUUCUCUUCCAGGCUUCCAAGUCCUAUCAUCAAAACUAAGGGAACUUGAUCUAGGUAUCAACCAAUUUAAUAAUGAUAAAAGCAUUUUGUCAUGUUUCAAUGGUAACCUUUCCACUCUCAAGUCUUUGGUUCUAUUACGGAAUGGGUUGACAGGAUCAGGUAGCUUCUAUGGUAACCUUUUAAUUAUUUAGCUUCGAAACCUUUUCUUUUCUCCUUCUCAUAUCAUUUUUUCCUAUGCGUUUAAUUAGUUCCUUCUAAUAUGCUCUUGAGGAACAUCAUGCAGGUCUCAAGGUCUUGUCAUCAAGGUUGAAAAAGCUGGAGAACCUUGAUCUAAGGUUUAAUCAAUACAACGAUAGCAUUUUUCCAUCUCUAACUGGAUUUUCAUCCCUCAAGUCUUUGGAUCUGUCGUACAAUCAGCUGACAGGAUCUGCUAGUAUCAUUAGUAAGUUACAUAUAAUUUCUACCUAACUGCUUUACGUGACGUUCUUUUAUAUUUAUUUAAUAAUCAACGAUAGCAUGUCAUCAUGUUUGAUUGCCGUAGCUUUCAUCUUAUCCAUAAAUUGUUUUUCUAUUAAGACAGGAAGAGAUUAAAGUCAUGAGCUAGCUAGAUCAAAACUAGGAUGAUUAAAAAUUGCAGAUACUUGCAAUCGAUCUAUCUUCUUCCUUAAUCUAUGCACUGUAUAUUUUUUAUGUAUAUCUUGUAGGUUUUCAACUCCAACCGAUGAGGCUGGGAAAGUUAGAGAACCUUGACCUGAGUUGGAAUCAAUUGAACAACAGCAUCUUAUCAAUUCUGAGUGGGCUUUCCACUCUCAAGUCUUUAGAUCUAUCAGGGAAUGGGUUGACAGCUGGAUCAGGUAGCUUCUAUGGUAACCUUUCAAUUAUUUAGCUUCGAAACCUUUUCUUUUCUCCUUCUCAUAUCAUUUCUAUGCUUUUGAGAAACAUCAUGCAGGUUUCAAAGACUUGUCAUCAAGGUUGAAAAAGCUGGAGAACCUUGACAUGGGUUGGAAUCAAUGCAACGAUAGCAUUUUUUCAACUCUAACUGGAUUUUCAUCUCUCAAGUCUUUAAUUCUUUCAGGCAAUCAGUUGACAGGAUCUGCUAGUAUCAUUAGUAAGUUAUAUAUAAUUUCUACCUAACUGCUUUACAUGACAUUCUUUUAUACGGUUUCGUAAUCAAGAAAAUUGAGGACUUUAUAUUUAUUUAAUAAUUAAUCAACGAUAGCAUUUCAUCAUGUUUGAUUGCGCUAGCUUUCAUCUAUGAAGAUUUAUAUCUAUGGAGCUUUGAUCUUAUCCAUAAAUUGUUUUUCUAACAAGACAGGAAGAGAUUAAAGUGAGCUAGCUGGAUCAAAACUAGGAUGAUAAAAAAUUACAUGUAUAGAUCAAUGGAUACUUGCAAUCUGUCUUCUUCCUUAAUCUAUGCACAGUAGCAUCUUAUCAAUUCUGAGUGGGCUUUCAUCCCUUAGGUCUUUGGAUCUAUCGUAAAAUAUGUUGACAGGAGCAGGUAUAAUACAUAGUUUCUACCUAAAUGCUUCACAUGACAUUCUCUUAAUUAUAUUGUUUCUUUAUCAAGAAAAAUGAGGACUUUAUAUCCAUGUAAAGAUGAAUUUUUUCACAACUCAAUUUCUAGGUCCAUAAUCGGCAACGUAGGAGUGGUGUUAAAAGAACACCCUAUGUAUAUACGAAGAACAAGUUAUUUAAAAAUACACAACAUUUCAUAAUUUUAAAAAAUAUUAUAUUAUUCAAAAUUAAUAAAUCCAAAUGAUUGUUCAAAACUUCUCUUUGAUAAUUAAAACAAGAACAAUAAUGAAUAACACUCAUUAUAUUAUCAUGAAAAAUGAGGACUUUAUAUCUAUGUGAUGAUCAAUUUAAUGAUAGCAUUGUAUCAUGUUUGACCAUCUUUAACAACUUUAUAUCCUUAAAUUGUUUUUUUUUUCCAAUAAGAUCAAAAUUAGAAUGAUUAAAAAUAUUUCUUAAUCUUUGAAGUGUACACAACCUAUUAUACAAUUAAAUAUGCGUUCGUGAGCUCAUUAUAAUUAAAUAUAGCAUUUUAUCAUUCUUUUUAUGUGUAAUUCGAGAAUCAUAUAUCAAUUGAACAACAUCUCAUCAAUUCUAAUUAUUUUUAGUUUUUAUCUAUUAUGCAUAUCGUGAUUAUGACUUACUCUUAGAAAGAACUCUCUUGCAGGUUUUGAGAUCAUAUCAUCACAUUUGUGGAAACUCGAGUCAUUAGAUUUGUCACAUAAUCAGCUGACAGGAUCUAUCACUAGUAAGUUACAUUCUCUUUAUCAAGAAAAUUGAGGAAUUUAUAUCUAUAUGCUUUCAUGUAUCAUUUUAAUAUCUAAGAUACUUUCAUCACUGAUUUGACUAUUUCGAGAUAAAUUGUAUAGGUUGGUGUGAAUUGAAGAAUCUAAAGCAGUUAGAUCUCUCUGGAAAUAAUUUUGAAGGUUUACUCCCAUAUUGUUUGGGAAACUUGUCAUCUCUACAACUAUUAGAUGUUUCUGAAAACCAGUUUACAGGAAAUAUUGCCUCUGGUCCUCUUACCAACCUCAUAUCCCUUAAAUUCCUCUCACUAUCAAAUAACCUCUUUGAAGUUUCCACUUCAAUGAAGCCUUUUAUGAAUCACUCAAGCCUCAAGUUCUUCUCCAGUGAGAACAAUAGACUUGUAACAGAACCUGCUGCCUUUGAUAAUUUGAUUCCAAAGUUCCAACUACUUUUUUUUAGCUUGUCAAAAACAUCGGAAGCACUCAGUGUAGAAAUUCCCGACUUCCUCUAUUACCAAUACGACUUAAGAGUCCUUGAUCUCUCCCACAACAACAUCACCGGAAUGUUUCCAUCGUGGUUGCUUAAGAACAAUACACGAUUGGAGCAACUAUCUUUAAGCAAGAACUCCUUUGUUGGUGCUUUACAAUUGCAAGAUCAUCCAUAUCCGAGUAUGACUGAAUUAGAUAUAUCCAACAACAACAUGAACGGUCAAAUUCCAAAAGAUAUUUGUUUAAUCUUUCCAAAUCUGUGGAGCUUAAGGAUGGCUAAGAAUAGAUUCAUAGGUUGUAUUCCUUCUUGUUUGGGAAAUAUUAGCUCUUUGGAAGUUUUAGAUUUAUCCAACAAUCAGUUGUCCACAGUAAAACUAGAACAACUAGCAACAACAAUUUUUCUCAAGCUAUCAAACAACAAUUUGGGUGGGAAAAUACCGACCUCGGUGUUCAAUUCUUCUACCUUAAGAUAUCUCUAUCUAGGUAGUAACAACUUUUGGGGUCAGAUAUUAGAUUUUCCAUUAUAUUGGAGGAAAAGGUGGAUUGUAUUGGAUUUAAGUAACAAUCAUUUUUCAAGCAUGCUUCCAAGGUGGUUUGUCAAUUGUACAUACCUUAGAGCAGUUGAUUUGUCCAAAAAUCAUUUUAAGGGUUCGAUCCCAAGAGACUUUUGUAAGCUUGACCAGCUUGUAUAUUUGGACUUUUCUGAGAACAACUUGUCUGGAUAUAUACCAUCUUGUUUCAGUCCACCACCUCUAACCCAUGUGCAUCUAUCCAAAAAUAGAUUGAGCGGUCCAUUAACAUAUGGAUUUUAUAACAGCUCUUCUUUGAUUACGAUGGAUCUUCGAGAUAACAACUUCAUCGGUUCCAUUCCAAAUUGGAUUGGCAAUCUUUCAUCGUUGAGUGUUCUUCUUCUAAGGGCUAAUCACUUUGAUGGUGAGCUCCGUUCAGUUAUGCUUGUUAGAACAAUUAAGCAUUUUGGAUGUUUCACAAAACCAGCUCUCUGGUCCACUACCCUCCUGUUUGGCAAUCUUACUUUCAAGGAAAGUUCCCAGAAAGCAUUACGGAUCUCAAUAUUCUUUUUCCAUCAUGUCCAUAAAAGCUUAUGAUGAAACAAUGGGUCCACCACUAGUGGAUAGUGUACAGCUUGGAAAAGGAUUUUGGCUAACUUUACAGAAGAAGUGAUAGAAUUUACAACUAAAAAUAUGUAUUAUGGUUACAAGGGGAAAGUUCUCAGCUACAUGUCUGGUAUUGAUCUCUCCAAUAACAACUUCAUAGGAGCAAUCCCACCAGAAUUUGGAAACUUAAGUGAGAUACUAUCAUUAAACUUAUCACACAACAAUCUCACUGGAUCUAUCCCUGCAACAUUCUCAAACCUAAAGCAUAUUGAGAGUUUGGAU